rnacentral:rRNA from 1 species
UACGUAGGGUGCGAGCGUUAAUCGGAAUUACUGGGCGUAAAGCGCGCGUAGGCGGACCUGCAAGUCGGGGGUGAAAGCCCGAGGCUCAACCUCGGAACUGCCUUCGAUACUGCGGGUCUCGAGUCCGGGAGAGGUGAGUGGAAUUCCCAGUGUAGAGGUGAAAUUCGUAGAUAUUGGGAAGAACACCAGUGGCGAAGGCGGCUCACUGGCCCGUAACUGACGCUGAGGUGCGAAAGCGUGGGGAGCAAACAGG